CCUACGGGUGGCUGCAGUGAGGAAUAUUGGUCAAUGGGCGCGAGCCUGAACCAGCCAAGUAGCGUGAAGGAUGACUGCCCUACGGGUUGUAAACUUCUUUUAUAAAGGAAUAACGUGAGUCACGUGUGCCUCUUUGUAUGUACUUUAUGAAUAAGGAUCGGCUAACUCCGUGCCAGCAGCCGCGGUAAUACGGAGGAUCCGGGCGUUAUCCGGAUUUAUUGGGUUUAAAGGGAGCGUAGAUGGGGUGUUAAGUACGUUGUGAAAGGUUGCGGCUAAACCGUAAAAUUGCAAUUGGUACUGGCAGUCGUGAGUACAGUGGAGGUAGGCGGAAUUCGUGGUGUAGCGGUGAAAUGCUUAGAUAUCACGAAGAACUCCGAUUGCGAAGGCAGCUUACUAAACUGCCACUGACAUUGAUGCUCGAAAGUGUGGGUAUCAAACAGGAUUAGAGACCCGGGUAGUC
rnacentral:rRNA from 1 species